UACGAAGGGUGCAGGCGUUAAUCGGAAUUACUGGGCGUAAAGGGUGCGUAGGCGGUUGUUUAAGUCUGUCGUGAAAUCCCCGGGCUCAACCUGGGAAUUGCGUUGGAGACUGCAAGGCUGGAGUCUGGCAGAGGGGGGUAGAAUUCCACGUGUAGCAGUGAAAUGCGUAGAGAUGUGGAGGAACACCGAUGGCGAAGGCAGCCCCCUGGGUCAAGACUGACGCUCAUGCACGAAAGCGUGGGGAGCAAACAGG
rnacentral:rRNA from 1 species